UGGGGAAUAUUGGACAAUGGGCGAAAGCCUGAUCCAGCCAUGCCGCGUGUGUGAAGAAGGUCUUCGGAUUGUAAAGCACUUUAAGUUGGGAGGAAGGGCAGUAAGCGAAUACCUUGCUGUUUUGACGUAACCGACAGAAUAAGCACCGGCUAACUCUGUGCCAGCAGCCGCGGUAAUACAGAGGGUGCAAGCGUUAAUCGGAAUUACUGGGCGUAAAGCGCGCGUAGGUGGUUCGUUAAGUUGAAUGUGAAAGCCCCGGGCUCAACCUGGGAACUGCAUCCAAAACUGGCGAGCUAGAGUAGGGCAGAGGGUGGUGGAAUUUCCUGUGUAGCGGUGAAAUGCGUAGAUAUAGGAAGGAACACCAGUGGCGAAGGCGACCACCUGGGCUCAUACUGACACUGAGGUGCGAAAGCGUGGGGAGCAAACAGG
rnacentral:rRNA from 1 species